GAUGAACGCUGGCGGCGUGCCUAAUACAUGCAAGUCGAGCGAACGGACGAGAAGCUUGCUUCUCUGAUGUUAGCGGCGGACGGGUGAGUAACACGUGGAUAACCUACCUAUAAGACUGGGAUCACUUCGGGAAACCGGAGCUAAUACCGGAUAAUAUUUUGAACCGCAUGGUUCAAAAGUGAAAGACGGUCCUGCUGUCACUUAUAGAUGGAUCCGCGCUGCAUUAGCUAGUUGGUAAGGUAACGGCUUACCAAGGCAACGAUGCAUAGCCGACCUGAGAGGGUGAUCGGCCACACUGGAACUGAGACACGGUCCAGACUCCUACGGGAGGCAGCAGUAGGGAAUCUUCCGCAAUGGGCGAAAGCCUGACGGAGCAACGCCGCGUGAGUGAUGAAGGUCUUCGGAUCGUAAAACUCUGUUAUUAGGGAAGAACAUAUGUGUAAGUAACUGUGCACAUCUUGACGGUACCUAAUCAGAAAGCCACGGCUAACUACGUG
rnacentral:rRNA from 1 species